rnacentral:rRNA from 1 species
CCUACGGGAGGCAGCAGUGGGGAAUAUUGCACAAUGGGGGAAACCCUGAUGCAGCAACGCCGCGUGAGUGAUGACGGUCUUCGGAUUGUAAAACUCUGUCUUUGGGGACGAUAAUGACGGUACCCAAGGAGGAAGCCACGGCUAGCUACGUGCCAGCAGCCGCGGUAAU